rnacentral:rRNA from 1 species
GACGAACGCUGGCGGCGUGCUUAACACAUGCAAGUCGAACGGAAAGGCCCUUCGGGGUCCUCGAGUGGCGAACGGGUGAGUAACACGUGGGUGAUCUGCCCUGCACUUUGGGAUAAGCCUGGGAAACUGGGUCUAAUACCGAAUAGGACCACGCGCUUCAUGGUGUGUGGUGGAAAGCUUUUGCGGUGUGGGAUGGGCCCGCGGCCUAUCAGCCUGUUGGUGGGGUAAUGGCCUACCAAGGCGACGACGGGUAGCCGGCCUGAGAGGGUGACCGGCCACACUGGGACUGAGAUACGGCCCAGACUCCUACGGGAGGCAGCAGUGGGGAAUAUUGCACAAUGGGCGCAAGCCUGAUGCAGCGACGCCGCGUGAGGGAUGACGGCCUUCGGGUUGUAAACCUCUUUCACCAGGGACGAAGCGUAAGUGACGGUACCUGGAGAAGAAGCACCGGCCAACUACGUG